AUUGAACGCUGGCGGCAUGCUUUACACAUGCAAGUCGAACGGUAACAGGCCUCCGGGCGCUGACGAGUGGCGAACGGGUGAGUAAUGCAUCGGAACGUGCCCAGUCGUGGGGGAUAACUAUCCGAAAGGAUAGCUAAUACCGCAUACGAUCUGCGGAUGAAAGCGGGGGACCUUCGGGCCUCGCGCGAUUGGUGCGGCCGAGGUCAGAUUAGGUAGUUGGUGGGGUAAAGGCUCACCAAGCCAACGAUCUGUAGCUGGUCUGAGAGGACGACCAGCCACACUGGGACUAAGACACGGCCCAGACUCCUACGGGAGGCAGCAGUGGGGAAUUUUGGACAAUGGGCGCAAGCCUGAUCCAGCAAUGCCGGGUGCAGGAAGAAGGCCUUCGGGUUGUAAACUGCUUUUGUACGGAACGAAACGGCUCUGGUUAAUACCCGGGGCUAAUGACGGUACCGUAAGAAUAAGCACCGGCUUUCUACGUGCCAGCAGCCGCCGUAACAC
rnacentral:rRNA from 1 species